rnacentral:rRNA from 1 species
UACGUAGGUGGCAAGCGUUGUCCGGAAUUAUUGGGCGUAAAGGGAGCGCAGGUGGGAAUGUAAGUCAAUCUUAAAAGUGCGGGGCUCAACCCCGUGAUGGGAUAGAAACUACAUUUCUUGAGUGCAGGAGAGGAAAGUGGAAUUCCUAGUGUAGCGGUGAAAUGCGUAGAUAUUAGGAGGAACACCAGUGGCGAAGGCGACUUUCUGGACUGUUACUGACACUGAGGCUCGAAAGCUAGGGGAGCGAACGGG